AUUGAACGCUGGCGGCAUGCUUUACACAUGCAAGUCGAACGGUAACAGGUUAAGCUGACGAGUGGCGAACGGGUGAGUAAUGCAUCGGAACGUGCCCGGUCGUGGGGGAUAACGCAGCGAAAGCUGCGCUAAUACCGCAUAUGAUCUGAGGAUGAAAGCGGGGGACCGUAAGGCCUCGCGCGAUCGGAGCGGCCGAUGUCAGAUUAGGUAGUUGGUGGGGUAAAGGCUCACCAAGCCGACGAUCUGUAGCUGGUCUGAGAGGACGACCAGCCACACUGGGACUGAGACACGGCCCAGACUCCUACGGGAGGCAGCAGUGGGGAAUUUUGGACAAUGGGCGCAAGCCUGAUCCAGCAAUGCCGCGUGCAGGAAGAAGGCCUUCGGGUUGUAAACUGCUUUUGUACGGAGCGAAAAGGCUCUCUCUAAUACAGGGGGCUCAUGACGGUACCGUAAGAAUAAACACCGGCUAACUACGUGCCAGCCGCCGCAGUAA
rnacentral:rRNA from 1 species